GGGAGCUACCAUUUGAUUUUUAUGGGGGGCUAGGAUGAAAAAUUUUGUCCUGCAUUUUUUUUUAGCUGUAAUCUCUGUCCUGCCUUUUUAUUUUUCACUCUGUUCGGUCCUGCUUUUUUUUUUUUUAGUUUAUCCUGACUUUUUUUUACCUAAAUUGUCGUCCUGACUUUUUUUUUUCAAGUGUCUCAUCCUGCCUUUUUUUUUACUCAAAAUUCCUGUCCUGCCUAUUUUUUUUCAAAUUUCAUCCUAGCCCCCCCC
rnacentral:lncRNA from 1 species